AUUGAACGCUGGCGGCAUGCCUUACACAUGCAAGUCGAACGGCAGCACGGGUGCUUGCCCCUGGUGGCGAGUGGCGAACGGGUGAGUAAUACAUCGGAACAUGUCCUGUAGUGGGGGAUAGCCCGGCGAAAGCCGGAUUAAUACCGCAUACGAUCUACGGAUGAAAGCGGGGGACCUUCGGGCCUCGCGCUAUAGGGUUGGCCGAUGGCUGAUUAGCUAGUUGGUGGGGUAAAGGCCUACCAAGGCGACGAUCAGUAGCUGGUCUGAGAGGACGACCAGCCACACUAGGACUGAGACACGGCCCAGACUCCUACGGGAGGCAGCAGUGGGGAAUUUUGGACAAUGGGCGAAAGCCUGAUCCAGCAAUGCCGCGUGUGUGAAGAAGGCCUUCGGGUUGUAAAGCACUUUUGUCCGGAAAGAAAUCCUUGGCCCUAAUACGGUCGGGGGAUGACGGUACCGGAAGAAUAAGCACCGGCUAACUACGUG
rnacentral:rRNA from 1 species